UCUGUUUCCGCAUCUUCAUUUCAAUCUCUCAGCAAUUAGCUACGCUGUCAAUGGUGUUCGCUGCCGCAACAGCAUCGAGCCUGGCGCUCCACGCGCUCAUGUUAGCAUCGCCACUGGCUUCAUUACGAACAUCAAGCUCCAACCGAACCUUAGCUUUCUCUUCCUUAUCCUCUUCUCCUAGAACUUCUCUCUCAACAAGCUUCUUGUCCCCCUUCGCCGCCGGCGGAACUGUCAUCGGCGACUUCUCCGGCAUAAAAAUUCGACCUGAAUGUCUCAAUCCGGCUUCAACGGCUUCAAUUUCCAGUUCUAAAGGCAAAAGAAGCGUUGUCACUAUGGUUAUUCCUUAUACUAGGGGAAGUGCGUGGGAGCAACCUCCCCCUGACUUAGCAUCUUACCUGUUCAAGAAUCGGAUUGUUUACUUGGGCAUGUC
rnacentral:misc_RNA from 1 species